GUAGGUGGCAAGCGUUGUCCGGAAUUAUUGGGCGUAAAGCGCGCGCAGGCGGUUUCUUAAGUCUGAUGUGAAAGCCCACGGCUCAACCGUGGAGGGUCAUUGGAAACUGGGAGACUUGAGUGCAGAAGAGAAGAGCGGAAUUCCACGUGUAGCGGUGAAAUGCGUAGAGAUGUGGAGGAACACCAGUGGCGAAGGCGGCUCUUUGGUCUGUAACUGACGCUGAGGCGCGAAAGCGUGGGGAGCGAACAGGAUUAGAUACCCUGGUAGUCCACGCCGUAAACGAUGAGUGCUAAGUGUUAGAGGGUUUCCGCCCUUUAGUGCUGCAGCUAACGCAUUAAGCACUCCGCCUGGGGAGUACGGCCGCAAGGCUG
rnacentral:rRNA from 1 species